AUCUUAACUUUGAUUGCUAAUCUAGAUUUUAGCUGUCGAUUUUAGUUUCGAUCAUAGGUCCUUAACUACUGACAUCAGAGCGACACCUGGACAUCAGACACCGAUUUAGGAAAGGUCAUGACCCCAGCAUCAUCUUCGACCAAAGGAUCCCUCACUGAUCCUCCUCUUUAGCCGUAGGCUGCAUUUCCUUCAACUAUUGUUGGCUGUUAUAUUUGGGAAGAUCAACCCCC
rnacentral:lncRNA from 1 species